UACGUAGGGUGCGAGCGUUGUCCGGAAUUAUUGGGCGUAAAGAGCUUGUAGGCGGUUUGUCGCGUCUGCUGUGAAAAUCCGGGGCUCAACCCCGGACUUGCAGUGGGUACGGGCAGAUUAGAGUGUGGUAGGGGAGACUGGAAUUCCUGGUGUAGCGGUGAAAUGCGCAGAUAUCAGGAGGAACACCGAUGGCGAAGGCAGGUCUCUGGGCCACUACUGACGCUGAGAAGCGAAAGCAUGGGGAGCGAACAGG
rnacentral:rRNA from 1 species